rnacentral:rRNA from 1 species
GACGAACGCUGGCGGCGCGCUUAACACAUGCAAGUCGAACGGAAAGGCCUGCUUUCCCUUGUGGAUUGCGGGUACUCGAGUGGCGAACGGGUGAGUAACACGUGAGUGAUCUGCCCCCAACUUGGGUAUAAGCCUGGGAAACUGGGUCUAAUUCCCGAUAGGACUGCAGGGUGGUGCCUGUGGUGGAAAACGAUUUUCUAGUGGUUGGGGAUGAGCUCGCGGCCUAUCAGCUUGUUGGUGGGGUAAUGGCCUACCAAGGCGGCGACGGGUAGCCGGCCUGAGAGGGUGGACGGCCACAUUGGGACUGAGAUACGGCCCAGACUCCUACGGGAGGCAGCAGUGGGGAAUAUUGCACAAUGGGCGGAAGCCUGGUGCAGCGGCGCCGCGUGGGGGAUGACGGCCUUCGGGUUGUAAACUCCUUUCGACCGCGAGGAAGCCACCUGGUUGGAAGGGUGGUGACGGUAGUGGUAGAAGAAGCACCGGCUAACUACGUG